rnacentral:rRNA from 1 species
GUUAUAUGGUCAAGUGAAGAAGCGCAUACGGUGGAUGCCUUGGCAGUCAGAGGCGAUGAAAGACGUGGUAGCCUGCGAUAAGCUUCGGGGAGUCGGCAAACAGACUUUGAUCCGGAGAUCUCUGAAUGGGGGAACCCAGCCAGCACAAGCUGGUUAUCACACACUGAAUCCAUAGGUGUGUGAGGCGAACCAGGGGAACUGAAACAUCUAAGUACCCUGAGGAACAGAAAUCAACCGAGAUUCCCUUAGUAGUGGCGAGCGAACGGGGACUAGCCCUUAAGCUUCUUGGAAUCUAACAGAACGCUCUGGAAAGUGCGGCCAUAGUGGGUGAUAGCCCCGUAUGUGAAAGGUUCCAGGAAGUGAAAUCGAGUAGGACGGCGCACGUGAAACGUUGUCUGAACAUGGGGGGACCAUCCUCCAAGGCUAAAUACUACUGACUGACCGAUAGUGAACCAGUACCGUGAGGGAAAGGCGAAAAGAACCCCGGAGAGGGGAGUGAAAUAGAACCUGAAACCGUAUGCGUACAAGCAGUGGGAGCCCACGUUGUUGGGUGACUGCGUACCUUUUGUAUAAUGGGUCAGCGACUUAUAUUCAGUGGCGAGCUUAACCGAAUAGGGGAGGCGUAGCGAAAGCGAGUCUUAAUAGGGCGUUUAGUCGCUGGGUAUAGACCCGAAACCGGGCGAUCUAUCCAUGAGCAGGUUGAAGGUUAGGUAACACUGACUGGAGGACCGAACCCACUUCCGUUGAAAAGGCAGGGGAUGACUUGUGGAUCGGAGUGAAAGGCUAAUCAAGCUCGGAGAUAGCUGGUUCUCCUCGAAAGCUAUUUAGGUAGCGCCUCACGUAUCACUCCAGGGGGUAGAGCACUGUUUCGGCUAGGGGGUCAUCCCGACUUACCAAACCGAUGCAAACUCCGAAUACCUGGAAGUGUCAGCGUGGGAGACACACGGCGGGUGCUAACGUCCGUCGUGAAAAGGGAAACAACCCAGACCGUCAGCUAAGGUCCCAAAGUUAUGGUUAAGUGGUAAACGAUGUGGGAAGGCUUAGACAGCUAGGAGGUUGGCUUAGAAGCAGCCACCCUUUAAAGAAAGCGUAAUAGCUCACUAGUCGAGUCGGCCUGCGCGGAAGAUGUAACGGGGCUCAAACCAUACACCGAAGCUACGGGUGCAUCGCAAGAUGCGCGGUAGAGGAGCGUUCUGUAAGCCUGUGAAGGUGAGUUGAGAAGCUUGCUGGAGGUAUCAGAAGUGCGAAUGCUGACAUGAGUAACGACAAUGGGAGUGAAAAACUCCCACGCCGAAAGACCAAGGGUUCCUGCGCAACGUUAAUCGACGCAGGGUUAGUCGGUCCCUAAGGCGAGGCUGAAGAGCGUAGUCGAUGGGAAACAGGUUAAUAUUCCUGUACUUCUAGUUACUGCGAUGGAGGGACGGAGAAGGCUAGGCCAGCUUGGCGUUGGUUGUCCAAGUUUAAGGUGGUAGGCCGAACACUUAGGCAAAUCCGGGUGUUCAAGGCCGAGAGCUGAUGACGAGCUUUCUUUUAGAGAGCGAAGUGGUUGAUGCCAUGCUUCCAGGAAAAGCUUCUAAGCUUCAGGUAACUAGGAACCGUACCCCAAACCGACACAGGUGGUCGGGUAGAGAAUACCAAGGCGCUUGAGAGAACUCGGGUGAAGGAACUAGGCAAAAUGGCACCGUAACUUCGGGAGAAGGUGCGCCGGUGAGGGUGAAGUAUUUACUGCGUAAGCCCACGCCGGUCGAAGAUACCAGGCCGCUGCGACUGUUUAUUAAAAACACAGCACUCUGCAAACACGAAAGUGGACGUAUAGGGUGUGACGCCUGCCCGGUGCCGGAAGGUUAAUUGAUGGGGUUAGCGAAAGCGAAGCUCUUGAUCGAAGCCCCGGUAAACGGCGGCCGUAACUAUAACGGUCCUAAGGUAGCGAAAUUCCUUGUCGGGUAAGUUCCGACCUGCACGAAUGGCGUAACGAUGGCGGCGCUGUCUCCACCCGAGACUCAGUGAAAUUGAAAUCGCUGUGAAGAUGCAGUGUAUCCGCGGCUAGACGGAAAGACCCCGUGAACCUUUACUGUAGCUUUGCACUGGACUUUGAGCCUGCUUGUGUAGGAUAGGUGGGAGGCUUUGAAGCGUGGACGCCAGUUCGCGUGGAGCCAACCUUGAAAUACCACCCUGGCAUGCUUGAGGUUCUAACUCUG